GCAAACAGAAGUGCUCUGACGAACUGUUCGGUGCUGACCACAUGGUGAGCCAAGGAUCCCAUAAUAGGUGCUUAUUCAGCAUCUGUGGCUAACUCAAAGACCAUCUUGCGGAUUCAUACAGUGUGCUGCAGCAAUCGCAUUGGACAUUCUACAAAAACUAGCCCAAAGCGGACAGAAGGCAGUACAGAUGGACACACAAAAGCCAUCGGGUUGCCUUAGAAACUGUGACUGAGCAU